CCUACGGGUGGCAGCAGUGGGGAAUAUUGCACAAUGGGGGAAACCCUGAUGCAGCGACGCCGCGUGAGCGAUGAAGUAUUUCGGUAUGUAAAGCUCUAUCAGCAGGGAAGAAACUGACGGUACCUGACUAAGAAGCACCGGCUAAAUACGUGCCAGCAGCCGCGGUAAUACGUAUGGUGCAAGCGUUAUCCGGAUUUAUUGGGUGUAAAGGGAGCGUAGACGGACUUGCAAGUCUGAAGUGAAAGCCCGGGGCUCAACCCCGGGACUGCUUUGGAAACUGUAGGUCUAGAGUGCUGGAGAGGUAAGUGGAAUUCCUAGUGUAGCGGUGAAAUGCGUAGAUAUUAGGAGGAACACCAGUGGCGAAGGCGGCUUACUGGACAGUAACUGACGUUGAGGCUCGAAAGCGUGGGGAGCAAACAGGAUUAGAUACCCGAGUAGUC
rnacentral:rRNA from 1 species